UUUCCUCGUCCUUCCUACACGAUUCGCUCUUGCCGGAUAUUCGCUUGGUUUUAUACGUAUCACUCAGUUUUUAAGUGAAUUAAUCCCAUUCCCAAGCAAUAAGAAAAUGGAUGAGAAUCAUACGCCACCCCUUUAUCAACAUGCUUAUUGUUUGAUCUGUUUAAAUAAAUUGUUUAAUACAAUUUAAAAGUACGACAAUGUGAUACUUUGACCAACAGUGGCCAUGGCCAUGACACUCAGCUUUGAUACUGAAGCUAAAGAAACCGCAAGAUGGCGCGGAUGUUUGCAUCUAAAUAUUAGAAGUACAUUGGUAUAUAUAUACAUAUAAAGAGCAAUAUUAUGUAUUCACUUACCUUAUCAUUGCCGUCGCUUACUAUGGUGUUUAUUGAUCAAAUGGCGUAUGAUCAGUUUGAUCUUCUAAGGAAAUUUCGUGACAUGGAACAAGGGUACAAUAAGUGGACAUUUACUCUGGCAAAAUAUAACUCUUUUACGAAUAACUCCAUGUUUCAACUAUUAAAAAGGUAUUUAUUAACAAUACUU